ACGGAAGGCAGCAGUGGGGAAUAUUGGACAAUGGGGGAAACCCUGAUCCAGCGACGCCGCGUGAGUGAAGAAGUAUUUCGGUACGUAAAGCUCUAUCAGCAGGGAAGAAAAUGACGGUACCUGACUAAGAAGCCCCGGCUAACUACGUGCCAGCAGCCGCGGUAGUACGUAGGGGGCAAGCGUUAUCCGGAUUUACUGGGUGUAAAGGGAGCGUAGACGGUAUGGCAAGUCUGAAGUGAAAGCCCGCGGCUUAACUGCGGGACUGCUUUGGAAACUGUCAAACUAGAGUGUCGGAGAGGUGAGUGGAAUUCCCAGUGUAGCGGUGAAAUGCGUAGAUAUUGGGAGGAACACCGGAGGCGAAGGCGGCUCACUGGACGAUAACUGACGUUGAGGCUCGAAAGCGUGGGGAGCAAACAGGAUUAGAUACCCUGGUA
rnacentral:rRNA from 1 species